rfam:Cavia porcellus supercont2_15 genomic scaffold, whole genome shotgun sequence.
UGGUGGCAAUGUCGGGCUUGAGAAUGGGGGACUUUCAUGAGGGACGCUGUUUGUGGGCCCAAAGUAGAAAAAAGGAAAAGAAAACAGAGGACCUGAUGAAGUGGGAGCCUGACAUGCCACACUGAACCUCAGUAAAUGAACAGCGAUUAUGGGACAAGUGAGCCAGCAUGAGAUUUUUGUUGAAAGUUUAGGAAAGGCUUUCAAGGCACGAGGAGUAAAGGUUAAAAUUAAGCAAUUGUGUCAAUAUUUUAAUUUUAUAAAACAAGCUUGUCUUU